rfam:Rattus norvegicus chromosome 2, whole genome shotgun sequence.
GGGGACUUAGCUCAGUGGUAGAGCGCUUGCCUAGCAAGUGCAAGGCCCUGGGUUCGGUCCCCAGCUCCG